AUGAAAUUUCCUCUCUCUUCAAGUUUCUCUCUCAUCUCUUUGUUGUUUCCCACCAUUUCCUCCUUCCUCCCUUUUCUUGCCAACCAAACUGGUCGCACGUCGAUUCUAGCUCGUUGGCCUCACGCCGGCGGCCCACCGGACGCCGCCUAGCCCCCGACGGUCCCUCUCAUUCUCCUCCUUCAUCCCCUGAUGAAAAGCGCCAUCUCCGGCGGUUGAUUGAUGGGCUUAAACCGAUUUGUUAUGGUCAGUUCACAGAACCGACGAUCAAGUCGGUUUUCAAGUUUACCAGCUCGACUGCCGGUUCGGCUACUGAGAUCGGCGAAGCAGACCCCGCCGAUCUAUCCCUGAGUUUGUUCCUGACCUUGCCGUGGUUGGGAACUAAUAGAUCAGCCAUCGGAAUACCUUCGGUGGCCCGAUCUCGUCGGAGAGUCCAAAACCGGUCCAAGUAGGACCGAUUCUGUUCCAGGCUAAACCGAAGGCCGCCAGUGCUCUGAGGAGCCUCCAACCGCUCUCGAUCAGUAGCUCCAGAGGUCCCUGACCUCGCCGUAGUUAUGGAUCGGCGGAUCGGCUGCUGGAUCUCCUCCGACAGUCCAAUCUCCAUCGGUGAAUCAAGACCGAUCCAACUUUGAACCAAUUCCGACGUUUGCUUCGAACCGGCAGUUCAACCGACCUCGAUUCGGUUCCCUCGGUGGUCUGUGACUAUCUGAUCGUGAUUCUGAAGAUCCGUGUGCGUUCCGAAGAGCUUGAUUCGAUCGACGACGUCUACAAUCAACGAAAACGCGUAAAAGCUACAUAAAACAUCUGAGAGAGGGUGUGCACAACUUCUUCGGAACAUUCAUUGAAGUGCUUCGUGAUAGACCACCUGGUCAUGAUUGGGAGCUUGAACCAGGUCUUUCCUGUAGUGACUAUCUGUUUGGAAUGCUUCAGGUGUCGAAGCUGGGAAAAAGGCAGCAACAGAAGUAUUAGCUCUUCAGAAAUGGGUGUUGGCUGUACUCAACGAGACCAGAUAUCUUACUAGAACAAGCUCUACUAAGAUGGAAACUAUAAGCUCUUGAGAAAUGGGUUUCUGGUUCAUUUUCUUGAAAUUCAGAUAGCUUUGUUAAUUUUGCCUUGGUGUUGCAUUUUUCACUUACAAGGAGCUUGUCGAGCCUCUGACUCUUGAAGAAGUAGCUGAACAUUGCCAUGCUCCUGAAGAGAUCAUCGCUCACAUGGCUGCCUACAACAGAGCAAUGAUUGCUGAGGGCAGUUGUGGAUCGCCUAGAAGCAUCAAAGUUUUCCUCGGGGAGUGUAAUGUUGAUGAAUUAUAUGCUUGAUUUUCGCAGAAGUUGGGUGUCUCGCUGCGCACCUCUUCGUAAAUUUUCAAUAAGCUGAUUUUGAUUGUGGUACUGAAUCUUCUUCAGAACGGGGGAUAAUUUGGGAGAUGGAAUUCUUUUACUGGAAGAUCUUUGUCUUUUUGGCAAAAAUUUUGGAAUUCUAGAGUCUGCAUGUCACUUUACAAUAUGCUCCAGGUAAGAUAAUUGUGGAUUCUAUUGACGACCUUAAUAGCUUCAGUAGCAAUUGGCAAUUCACUCUGCUAAAUUAGCAGGUUCUUACCAUGCCGCCAUAUGCAUGGAAAAGCGUGAAGCUGUCAAAGUUAAGAUACGAGUUUUCACUGUGCAUUCUAAGGAUAAAGCAGGUCUGUGCGCAUUAGUUGGACCAAAUAAUUAUUGUAGAGUUCAGAAUGUUUAAGUGUUUGCUAUUACUUGCCGGCAAAGGGCCCACUCCAUUGAAGUUAACUAUGAGGAAAACAAUACCAUAUGUGAGAGAUGAACUUUUUUCUGGACCCAGUGCUGUUGGAAUCAGUGACUUGAUUUGAGGAUUUAUUAUUUGUGUUCUGUGGUAACAUUUAUGGCUAUGCUAUGUGGUAAAAGUUUCCAGCAA